CAAGCUCCUAUCUACCGGUAC
rnacentral:miRNA from 1 species